GUCCCUCUCUCUAAAACCACUCUGUGUGGGGAACAUGAGAGCCAGACCAAAGCUCAGAGGUUCAAAGAGUGCAUGUCAUCACACUGGGACCAGACUGCUUCAUCAGGAGACUACUACUGUACCCAUUGUAAAGAAAGAUCCAGAACCAGAGCUGGACUGCAGACAGCCAGCCAGAGCUGCUGUGUACAAACAAAUGUUGGUCUGCAGGAGGUUUUAGAUGCACAUAAGAUCAGUCUGAGGAGGAGAUGUG